rnacentral:lncRNA from 1 species
UUUUUUUUUUUUUUUUAUAUUUUGAUUACUGCAUUGUAUUUCAUUAUUUUGGAUUUUCAAAAGUUUUUGCAUAAUAGGUCAAACAAAUCCAAAUCUUCUAAAAUCAAUUUUUUAUCAAUUUAAUCAUUCCCACAGAAAAUCCAAAGAUACCGACUUCUUUAGAAAAAAAAGUUCUCGCACGUCUGAUUUUUGUAGAAAUAUUUUAGUAAAGUUUUUUUUUAACUUCCAAUUUUAUUAGUUAUUUUAUUUUAU